UAAUUCAUCUGUGUCUCUUGAUUCAAUCUUUGACUCCUGAUACAUUGUUUAGGUGGCUUUUAACCUCCUGCAUAGAGCUACUUGAUAUUGUAUCUGUCAAUCUAUGCGAGGUCCAAGGUUUAUCUUUCUAUUUACUAAUUUAUCUUUGGGGGGAAUUUUGUCAUAAUGAGUUAGAUAGAGGCGUUCUUAGGGCUUAUUUAGCAUUAUAAUCAAUUAAUAAAUGGAUCAUAUGGAUCAUUAUUGUUCCAUAAAGUAGUUAAUUGGUUAUCAAUAUCAUCUGUAAGGAGUGAUGUCUGGAUUAAGCUUACAGCUCUGUUCCUUUGUUUGGAAAUUUUGUAUGGGUUGGAUGUAAGCAUGAAUCCUGGAUUGUAAGAUUAUGGUGCCCUUUAACUGAAGCUUGUCAUGUAUUUGAUUGAAAUAAUAUGAAAUAAGCACAACUAGUUGCUGAUGGUGAUCCAAUGUAGUUUUUGGGACCUAAUGAGACACUGCUCUAGAUAUCUGAAACAUCAGUACUAAAAAUGAAACAUGAUUGAGAAAGUCUUAGAAAAACAUCCUACCUUUAUAUAUAGGUUUUGCAAAAGGGGUAUGGAUGAUGGGCGUGAUUGAUGAGAUUCGAAUGCCUGUUACAGAAACAAACCGAAACCCAAUAUUAGUUGACACAAGGACUCGUGUGAAAGAUACACUUACUGUUGAACCACAACGAAGAAAUGGAAGGCUUCAAUUAAUGUGCUACAAGUACAUUUGGGAUGAUUUAGUUGCUGAUAAAUUCCCAUCAAAGAAAUUUUUCACUUUUUUUCCUUAAAUCCUCAUGGUAUCUUAUAUGAAGAAAUCAGAGAGAUGGCUGCUAACUCAAGGUUCCCAGCAGAGACCCUUGAUGACAUAGUGAGAUACUACAAAAACACAUGUAGCAUGCUGCCCUCUACACAUGACCAGCUGCUAUUGAGAUAUGAGUUACAGAAAGAUCAUUCGUUACUUGGUGAAGAUGAGUUUGCAUACGACUAUGAUUGGGUCAAGAAUCAAAUACAGGGUUGUCUUGAGUUCUGGUUAGGAGAGCGAGAAACAAGUUACACUCCUAAGGAUGAGGGAUGGAAAUGCAAGUUCUGUCAAUAUUCUUCUGUUUGCCCCACUAGACGUGCAAAGUCUGCAAACUAUACUAAUACACCAAGUUAGAGAAAAGCAGUAGCAUUGGUGAUGUUUCAAUCAACAUCGUCAGUAAGUGUACAAAGAAGCACAAUUCUUGGAGUUGCUUCUUUGGGGUAAUUGCUGUGUUGGUUGUGCCAUGAAUGUAUCGUUCAUGUUGUAUCGUAGUCGUUGUUUGAUUCAAUUGUUGUAACUUAAUUCUUUGGAUGAAAUCAUUAAACAGGAGUUGUAAAAUUCAAUUGUUUUGUAUUGAAAGCUACGCUCAAAGUGCAAAGGAUGUCUCUCUAUCAAAUUUAGCAAAGUCAGAUAGUGAUGUUACAAUUGUAUGUUAACAUUAGGAUGAAUGAAUAUGGUAUUAUUCAUGGA